rnacentral:lncRNA from 1 species
AUCUUUCUGUAUUAUUUAUAUUUUCGUCUGCAUUUCUUCCAUUUUUCAUCUAAUUAAUUAUGUGUCUUCAUUGCUUAAUUUUCAGCUUCUGUUGCUAUAUUAUAGCUAAUAUUUUGUUGAUAUGUUUCCUUAAAGUUGAAAUUUGACGUGGGUAGCGAUGAUUAUAAAGUAAUUCCUCGUACUGAUUGCUGUAGCCACGGCAUGACAGACCAUUUUACACCCAUAGAAUAUGAGCUUCCACCAUCUAUUUGUAUUUGUUUUCAUUUAUUUAUUUUGAGUUUAAUAUCCAAUUUUGGAAGUUGUGAGGGGUAGAUCUCGGCUAGAUUACUUUGAAAUUUUGUUCGGUGAUGUGCCGAGUGUAUUCUAUGUUGCUAUUACAGGUGCGUAUAGCGAAAUUUAUGAUUGAUCAAUAGAGUAGAUUGGAUUGAUUUAUACUUAACGUUAAUGAGAGAUUUGUGGUUGUUAGUGGAUUUCACGCACAGGGUUUAUGAUGUUCAUGUAAGUUGAAUUUUGUGCCUGAAUCUGAUUAUAUAUGUAAUGUGGUUUUUGAAGAAAAUAGGUAAAGACUUCUAAAAAAGCAAUCUUUUGAAAUGCUAACUUCUAAAGAACUUGUUUUUUAUAAGACAGUUUAAAAAUAAAUUUAUAUUUGGUAGUCUUGGAGCAAUCUGGCUCUAUAAGACAAGGUGAAAGUUAAAUGUGCUCAAAAAUAAAUUUUAACGGUAGCCAAAUGUGUAUGUAAACUUAAAAAUUGCUUUCAAGUAACUUUGUGAAAUAUCUUCUUUUUAUCAGCACUUUUAAGUGUGCUUCUACUUUAUCUUAAACUUACUCUGCGUUUUUUUGGUGUCAAUACGUUAUUAACAUUACAACUAGCUCUAGUAGCAAUAAUUGACAAACAAAAAAGUAGCUGUCUAUCUAUUUUGAAAUACCAAAAAUGUCCUAUUUAGAAAAAUUGAAUGUAAAAAUUAAGGGGCACAAUGUUAAGUAACUUUGUGAAAUACAUUUUUAAUCAAAAAUGGGUCUUACAAAAGCUGCCAUUGUUGACUUCUUAAUUUUUGCAUUUAAUCUUCUUAAGCAGGACAUUUUUGACAUUUCAAAAUGGAAAAAUAUGAUGUUUUGUAUGUCAAUUAUUGUGGUUAAAGCUGGUUUUGUAGUACUUUUUAUAACGUUCAGAUUUUCUAUUAGAGUUCUUUUACCUUUUUGGAUGCUGAGAACAAGUUUGGCUUAAGUUUUUUAAAAAAAUCCUCUUUUGAUUGCACUAAUUUAGAAGUUAAUUAUCUUCAAACUUUGAAGAAAGAUUCUACCUUGAAACUUGGUUCAAGGCAAAAAUCUUGGAUCAACUUUCAAGACAGAUUUGAAGAUCGACUUGAAAGUGUGAAAUGGGGAGAUCGUUGGUCCUCUCUUUCAGAAUUCAAUAAAUUUCCUCUCUUAUUUUUAAAAAGCGGUUCAUCAUUGGCAUAAUUUUUGUUAUGUGAGUGUGUUGCUUUUGUUUGACUAAUUGAAUAAUAUCCAAUAUGUUCUUGUUAAUUUCUAACCAGCAUAAAUAGUACUUCAAAUUUUCAUCUUUAAUAAUCUUUUUGUAUGAAUACAUUUUUUGCUUUACUUAUAAACAUUUUCAUGGUUUCAUAAUGUUUUUUAUAUUGAGGAGCUGGAUUUAUUAUUAAUCACAGUAGAAGGAAAUCGUGUUUACUGUGUGCACUCUGCCUCUCCUUAUAUUGAACUUCGGUGGUGUUUAAAGCCCUUAUUUGACAGAGUGGUUCUAGAAAUUUGGGUUACGCACACCUCCAAAGCCAAGAUUCAUCCACCAUUGUAAUUUAUACUUCUCAUUUAACAAUUGAGUAAUCAGUCGGAUUCAUUAUCUUAGUUUUAUUUAAUUUUUAACUUAUUUAUAAAAUUUGGAGUGAUGAAUACAAAAACAUUUGUUAGUGACAUAGAGUAUAGAUGGAAUUCCACUAAUUAUUAAAAUCAUGCGCAAGAUUUGGACAUUUAAUAACUGAAUUUUAUAAUAAUAGGCAUAUUUUCAAUGAUGAUGAUACUAUUUUGAAUGAACCUGAUUGGCUUUUAGCUUUUAAAAAUAAAAAUUCUUGACAAGUUUUCAUGACUACAAAUAUUGUCUGGAGUGUACUAUUCCACUAGUUGUAUAGUGCUUUAACUGCUUUAUAUAAUUGUAAGGGUUUUUCAUAAAUAUAAAAAUGACCUCCAUUUUAGUGAAAUUAUAUAUUCUAUGGAAUUAAAGUUUAAAAAAUAUUGGAAAGAUUACCUAUAUUAUUUCCUUUAGCAUGGAUCAUGGACCUUGAUACAAUUUAUCAUGUACUAAAUAUAUAAUUGAUCAGAUUUCAAAGCCUCUAACUUUUAAUACUUCUAUGAUUUAUAGAAAUUUAGAACAAACUUUAUGUGAAGUGUAUGAAUUAUAUACAGAAUGAAUGGGUGCAAAUAUUAAUUCCGUAUCCUCGGCACCUACUUCUCCCGUUGAUAUUGAAGAAGAAAUAUUAAAUUUAUUUGAAGGUAUUAAUACAUAUAGAUAUAAUGCAAAUAUAAUAUGUUCCUCUAGUAUUAGUAUGUCUAUCGCAUGUAAUUGAACAUGGGACGCAAGUCUAAAUGUAUGAAGUGUAUGAAUUAUAAAUAGAAUGAAUGGGUGCAAAUAUUAAUCGCGUACCCUUGACACCUACUUCUCCCGCUGAUAUUGAAGAAGAUAUAUUAAAUUUAUUUGAGGGCAUUAAUACAUAUAGAUAUAAUGCAAAUAUACUAUGUUCCUCUAGUAUUAGUAUGUCUACCGCAUGUAAUCAAACAUGAGACGCAAGUCUAAAUGCAUUGCAUGCUGAAUUAUUUGAUUACUUUAAUCAUAUAUGCCUAAUAACAAAACAAUUAAAACAGGUUCAGAAGAAGUAAUUGAAUACUGGUGAAUAUACGAACGACGAUGGCUAGUGGUUUUUGCGAUUUCAAAGAACUUCUAACAACUCUGAUUAGUACUAUAGUUUCGGAGUCUGAUUUUAGUGCAGGUAAGAAUGUUAUAUUCGAGGUCAGGAGCCGAUUGAACGAAAUUUUUUGGAAGCAUUAAUGUACUUGAAGGAUUGACAAGACGCUUAUUUUUUUACUACAAGAUAAAUAUGUUGAAAUUGCAUAUCGUUAAGUAAGUAAUAUUUAAUUUAAACAUGUUAAUCAAUAUUUGUUAUUUUAUAAUACUGUUUUAAUUUAUUUUAAAAAAUUGUACACGUAAUGAGUUGUUCAUGUAUAAUUUUUAACUCUGUUUACUCGAAAUUUAAGUAGUUGAUCCCAAAUCCAAAUAAAGAAAGAUAAUUUUAUCUGUUACAAAAAAAUAAUAAUAAAAAAAUAAAAAAUCAUGAGCUCAUGAGCCGAAGCUUGACUCGACCCUCGAGGAACGAGACACGAGCUCGGCUCGUGCUCACUCCUGGGCAAUAGGGCUGAGUUGAUUGUCACUACUGCUUAUAAUAUAAAAUUCAAAAUGCAUUGUAGACGUUUUGAGUACUUUCAACGAAAAAAAGAAAAGAAACACUCAAAAUAUGAAAAGAAGCAUCUAAAUAAAAUUUUAAAAUUAAAAUUUUUUAAAUAAAAAUGUAAAAUUCUAAAAAAUAAAAAUAUAAUCUAAAAUAUAAGAAAAAAAUUCAAAAAAAUAAAGUUCAAAAGAUAAAAGUAUAAACAUUUCUAGAAAAAUAAUAGAUAUAAAAAAUAUAAUUAGUUCACACUAUUAAUAAUUAUUUAUAUAAAAAAUUUUAAAAAUAUAUAUUUAAAUGAACACAGAAUCCAUAUAAUUAAUUUUUAGUUUUAUUUUCAAUAUCUUCAACUCAAUUUAUUAUUUAUUUGUAUUUUACUUUUUUGCGAGAAAAAAAUAUUGUAAAAUUAACCAACUUUAAAAUGUAUAUAUUCCUUGAUAAUAUAUUAACGUACGAUUAUUACAUUUUUAUUGAAUAGUCAAAUUUCAUGGAAUAAAAUGUUUAUAAAACAAUUUUCCAAAAUGGCAAACCAAACGUAAUUUUCUAAUUUUUCUGUUUUGAGAAUUAUUUUUUUUUAAAUGAUUAAACAAAAAGAAUUUUUAGCAAUUUUAAAACAGGCCCACAAAGCAAAAAAAUUGAAAAUAACUUCAAAAUUCAAAUCUAAAAACCAAAACACAAACCAAACAGCCCUAAUAUUUCCUUUAUUUCAAUUUUCUACUAAUCAAUUGUCAAAAGAAUAAUACUAAUUGCACAUACCUUUUAUACACUUUUUUGUACAAAAAUCAUGGUUUGGGUGGUCGAGGGACUCCAACAGAUAAAUUUUGCAAUAGGAGAAAAUUUCUCCCCUGUUUGUGAUCAUGCGUGCAAGGCCAAUUUCCAAACAUGAGCCAUAAUGGCUCGAGUCAUGCUCACCAUGGCCCAGUGUCAACCCCAUCAUACAUGUGUGGUUUAGCUUUCUCCUAUUCCACUAUCUCAUUGAAGAACCUAGAAUUCCAAAUUGGAACAGGUGCGUAAGUUUGUUGGAAUGUCAAGAAAAAACCUACUUCAAAGGAG